UAGAGGCAGAGGGAAGCUUAGAAUCAAACCCUCUGCCAUCUCUAUUUCCUCGUCCUUCCUUCUCCAAUGUUCUGUCCUUGUUGCCGGCAAUCGUGGUUACUACUCAACGCUGCCCUGUAAAAAUGCCCAGGUCCUCCAUGAUUCUUCUCGUCUCUGUUUUCUUUUCCUUGUUGUAUCUGCGUCGUUGGUGUGCGUGAGGAGCUGGGUUGCCGGAGGUUGUGGAUGAUUGGAAACGUCCUUCUUGUUCCUUCUCUGUCAGUGUGUCUCUGUAGGUGUUGCGAUUAGUGAGCGAGUUCCUUCCUCCUCUGUUUUGUCAAUUUCUUUCUCUUCCCUUUUCUUGAUUCUUCUUCAGCAACCUUGGGGGGGGGGGAGGAGAGCUCGACCUCUUCCCUUCCUCCUUUAUUUGGCCGGCAACCACCGUUGAAUGUGCUUUCUCCAUUAUUCUCGUCAGAGUUAUGUUUGCGCGGCCUUCUCCUUCCUCUUCUAUCCUGGUUUUCAUGCGGGUGUGUGAUGAACUUUGUUCUUUUUUCCAUGGUUAUAUGACUAGCUGCUGCUUCUUGCUUCUUUCGUCACUGAUUGAAGGGCUUCAUGAAGAAAUUGCUUAUGAAAUCUAAUGGUGAUGGAGAAGCAAAUAAUGAUACUUGAGGCUUUUGGAGGGGUUUGGUUUUCAGAGAAACAGAUCAAUGGAAUACCAAAAGUACAAAAGGAUCGGAAGAACCCAAUGGAUUUGAUUCGCUUAUGUAGAAGUAAUCACUUGGAGUUUGGAAUGGUUGGUAGUAAUUUCAUCUUCACUUUUCAAUAUCUUUUUGUGGUUUCAAAAGUUAUGUAUGGAAAAUAGAUAGACUGUAUAUUAUUUAUUUUUCUUUCCUUUUAA